GCUCUCUUGGUUUAGUGGCAGAAUACUCGCUUAGGGAUAAGCAGCGCAUGCUGUCCAAAGUGCGUGAGUCCUGGGUUCGAUUCCCGGAGAGGGCC